AUAGUCGCUUGUUCUCCGCCCGCGGUGGACCAGCUGCGUAACGGUUCACACACUGAUGGCGCCUGGAGGUUUGGCGAAAUACUGACAGGAUGCGACGUCAACGGGAGCGCAGGGCCAAGAUACCCUUUAUAUCAAACCGUCUAUCCUGGAGCAGAAAAAUCCUGUCUUCAUUGCUAUAGCUACAGAUUCAGAAAUGAGCAUGUAACAAAUUCAGGCCAAAGAGAGGCAAUGGAAAUCAGAGAAACACUGUUCCUGAAAGCUUCUGUCACUCAAGAAUCCAUGAAACAUUCAUGAACUUCACAUCAGAGUCCUCAGAAGGGAAGAUAGUGUUAAUGUAGAAUUGAUAACACAGAAUGCACCACUGCUGUGAUCCUUAUAUCUUGGCUGGCCAUUACCCCUCCACUUGGAAAUGAAAAAGAUAAACUAAUUGAAGCAGUGAGAAGAGAAAAAGGGAGAGGAAGGUGCUAUUGUGGAGGUGCAUACCCAACAGUUUGAUAAUGUAGAGGAAGUGAUAGCUUUGUCUCGUGGAAUCUGGGUCGACCUC
rnacentral:lncRNA from 1 species